GACGAACGCUGGCGGCGUGCUUAACACAUGCAAGUCGAACGAUGAAGCCUAGCUUGCUAGGUGGAUUAGUGGCGAACGGGUGAGUAAUACGUGAGUGACCUACCUUUGACUCUGGGAUAAGCCUGGGAAACUGGGUCUAAUACCGGAUACGACCAAUCUCCGCAUGGGGUGUUGGUGGAAAGCGUUAUGGAGUGGUUUUAGAUGGGCUCACGGCCUAUCAGCUUGUUGGUGAGGUAAUGGCUUACCAAGGCGACGACGGGUAGCCGGCCUGAGAGGGUGACCGGCCACACUGGGACUGAGACACGGCCCAGACUCCUACGGGAGGCAGCAGUGGGGAAUAUUGCACAAUGGGCGCAAGCCUGAUGCAGCGACGCCGCGUGAGGGAUGACGGCCUUCGGGUUGUAAACCUCUGUUAGCAUCGAAGAAGCGAAAGUGACGGUAGGUGCAGAGAAAGCGCCGGCUAACUACGUGCCAGCAGCCGCGGUAAUACGUAGGGCGCGAGCGUUGUCCGGAAUUAUUGGGCGUAAAGAGCUUGUAGGCGGUUGGUCGCGUCUGCUGUGAAGGCUGGGGCUUAACCCUGGUUUUGCAGUGGGUACGGGCUAACUAGAGUGCAGUAGGGGAGACUGGAAUUCCUGGUGUAGCGGUGGAAUGCGCAGAUAUCAGGAGGAACACCGAUGGCGAAGGCAGGUCUCUGGGCUGUAACUGACGCUGAGAAGCGAAAGCAUGGGGAGCGAACAGGAUUAGAUACCCUGGUAGUCCAUGCCGUAAACGUUGGGCACUAGGUGUGGGGGACAUUCCACGUUUUCCGCGCCGUAGCUAACGCAUUAAGUGCCCCGCCUGGGGAGUACGGCCGCAAGGCUAAAACUCAAAGAAAUUGACGGGGGCCCGCACAAGCGGCGGAGCAUGCGGAUUAAUUCGAUGCAACGCGAAGAACCUUACCAAGGCUUGACAUAUACUGGACUGCGUCAGAGAUGGCGUUUCCCUUCGGGGCUGGUAUACAGGUGGUGCAUGGUUGUCGUCAGCUCGUGUCGUGAGAUGUUGGGUUAAGUCCCGCAACGAGCGCAACCCUCUUAUAUGUAGCCAGCAUCGUGAGGUGGGGCAUCAUAGGAGACUGCCGGGGUUAACUCGGAGGAAGGUGGGGAAGACGUCAAAUCAUCAUGCCCCUUAUGUAUUGGGGUUCCAGCAUGGUACAAUGGGCGGUACAGAGGGUUAGGAUACUGUGAGGGGGAGGUAAUUCCUAAAAACCGGUUUCAAUUUGGAAUGGGGUUUGCAACUUGGCCCCCAGAAGUCGGAGUUGGUUGUAAUUGCAGAUCAGCCACGCUGCGGUGAAUACGUUCCCGGGCCU
rnacentral:rRNA from 1 species